rnacentral:lncRNA from 1 species
UCUCAAUAUGCAGCUGUUUAUUUUUCUUUUGAAAAGUUACUCGUGUUUCCUUUGGCAUAUUUGUUUUCUUUUUACUUCAAUUUUCACUUUCUUCUUCCCUCUGUUGUACACAGUGAUUCUCUAAUUCUCUUUGUUUCCUUCAUUCAUCACUUUUAAUUUUCAAUUUUGCAUCUCACUUUUCAUUUGUUUCAGAAUAAUUUGUAAUUUCUUUUACCUAUUUUGGUGAUGAUUGAAUUACGUUUUGAUUGAUUGUUUUAAGCUAAUUGUGAUUUCAUUGAUAAAAGAAAUUGAAAUCAAAAGACCUUAUUGCAUUGGCGUCUACUAUUUUUUAAACCUUUUACAUUAGGUUAAUUACUAUAUCAUCUCAUUCCACAUGUUUAUGUACACCUUAUUAGCUUUACAGUGUCGUAUUUGAUAUUCAUGUUUACUCUUUGUAAUCAACACUGAACAAAUCUAAUUUUGAACUUUUUGACUUCUCAGGUGAAUGUCGCAACUGCAAACGAGACCGUGUUAAGAUUGUAUGUAUUUGCGGUGAUGUCUCUAUUUGAUUGUAAAGAAGGAGAAUUAGCAUACAAGAACAAAGUUCCAAGAUCUAUGUAUAGUGACAGAGAUACAUUGAGAGUGAUUAGCAAGAAAAAUAGAUGUGGAGGAGAACAAUAUGCUUAUAAGAAGAGUGCAGCGUAAUAUUGAAUUACAUGUAUUUAUUCUACAGGUAAGCAAUAGGAACCUUAACGUG